rnacentral:rRNA from 1 species
GAUGAACGCUAGCGGCAGGCCUAAUACAUGCAAGUCGAACGGUGUCUUCGGACAUAGUGGCGCACGGGUGCGUAACACGUAUGCAACCUACCUUACAUUGGGGGAUAGCCUUUCGAAAGGGAGAUUAAUACCGCAUAAGACAGUAGCUGGGCAUCCAGCAGCUGUUAAAGAUUUAUCGAUGUAAGCUGGGCAUGCGUCCAAUUAGCUAGUUGGUGAGGUAACGGCUCACCAAGGCAAUGAUUGGUAGGGGAACCGAGAGGUCAAUCCCCCACACUGGCACUGAGAUACGGGCCAGACGCCGACGGGAGGCAGCAGUAGGGAAUAUUGGGCAAUGGACGCAAGUCUGACCCAGCCAUGCCGCGUGCAGGAUGAAGGCGUUAUGCGUUGUAAACUGCUUUUAUACAGGAAGAAACUACUCUUGCGAGAGGCAUUGACGGUACUGUAUGAAUAAGCACCGGCUAACUCCGUGCCAGCCGCCGCCGUAA